rnacentral:tRNA from 2 species
GGGGCAUUAGCUCAGCUGGGAGAGCGCUUGACUGGCAGUCAAGAGGUCAGCGGUUCGAUCCCGCUAUGCUCCA